UCGUGCAGCUACUGUUUAUACCUCGUUCAGAGAUUUAUUAUUGCUUAUAGAUAGAUGUGGGUGUGUGUGUGUGUGUAUGUG